AAUCGAUGACAAAAUUGCCAUGGAAGGGCAAUUUUGAACACUGGCGAAGCCAGUGGCCCAUGGGGCGAGCACACAGGAUGUGUGCGAGUAAAAAGCGGA
rnacentral:ncRNA from 1 species